rnacentral:rRNA from 1 species
AUUGAACGCUGGCGGCAUGCCUUACACAUGCAAGUCGAGCGAGCGGAGCACGGGUGAGUAACAUAUCGGAACGUCCCAAGUAAAGGGGGAUAACUAUUCGAAACGUUAGCUAAUACCGCAUAGUAUUAGAUCGCCACAUAUGUGAUUAGCUGGUUGGUGGGGUAAAGGCCCACCUAGGCGACGAUCAGUAGCGGGUCUGCGAGGAUGAUCAGCCCCACAGGGACUGAGACACGGUCCAGACUCCUACGGAAGGCAGCAGUGGGGAAUUUUGCACAAGGAGCGCAAGCCUGAUCCAGCCAUGCCGGGUGUAUGAAGAAGGCCUUCGGGUUGUAAAGUACUUUAAGCGAGGAAGCGGUACCAGCAGAAUAAGCACCGGCUAACUACGUGCCAGCAGCCGCGGUAAUAC